rnacentral:rRNA from 1 species
AGUAGCRUGCAUNGUCUAAGUAUAAGCAAUUAUACGGCGAAACUGCGAAUGGCUCAUUAUAUAAGUUAUCGUUUAUUUGAUAGUACCUUACUACUUGGAUAACCGUGGUAAUUCUAGAGCUAAUACAUGCUAAAAAUCCCGACUUCGGAAGGGAUGUAUUUAUUAGAUUAAAAACCAAUGCCCUUCGGGGCUCUUUGGUGAUUCAUGAUAACUUCUCGAAUCGCAUGGCCUUGCGCUGGCGAUGGUUCAUUCAAAUUUCUUCCCUAUCAACUUUCGAUGUUUGGGUAUUGGCCAAACAUGGUUGCAACGGGUAACGGAGGGUUAGGGCUCGACCCCGGAGAAGGAGCCUGAGAAACGGCUACUACAUCCAAGGAAGGCAGCAGGCGCGCAAAUUACCCAAUCCCGACUCGGGGAGGUAGUGACAAUAAAUACUGAUACAGGGCUCUUUAGGGUCUUGUAAUUGGAAUGAGUACAAUUUAAAUCCCUUAACGAGGAACAAUUGGAGGGCAAGUCUGGUGCCAGCAGCCGCGGUAAUUCCAGCUCCAAUAGCGUAUAUUAAAGUUGUUGUGGUUAAAAAGCUCGUAGUUGAACCUUGGGCCUGGCUGGCCGGUCCGCCUCACCGCGUGUACUGGUCCGGCCGGGUCUUUCCCUCUGUGGAACCCCAUGCCCUUCACUGGGCGUGGCGGGGAAACAGGACUUUUACUUUGAAAAAAUUAGAGUGCUCAAGGCAGGCCUAUGCUCGAAUACAUUAGCAUGGAAUAAUAAAAUAGGACGUGCGGUUCUAUUUUGUUGGUUUCUAGGACCGCCGUAAUGAUUAAUAGGGACAGUCGGGGGCAUCAGUAUUGCGUUGUCAGAGGUGAAAUUCUUGGAUUUACGCAAGACUAACUACUGCGAAAGCAUUUGCCAAGGAUGUUUUCAUUAAUCAGGAACGAAAGUUAGGGGAUCGAAGACGAUCAGAUACCGUCGUAGUCUUAACCAUAAACUAUGCCGACUAGGGAUCGGACGGUGUUAUUCUUUGACCCGUUCGGCACCUUACGAGAAAUCAAAGUGCUUGGGCUCCAGGGGGAGUAUGGUCGCAAGCUGACUAGAGA